AGCAAACCGGAGCCAGUUGGGUUACUGACCCAGAGAGGCCCCUUCGGACCCCAGACCCGCGCAGAGGGUGGUGGAAGAUAGCCCGCGGUAGCGUGGUCCUGCUGCUUCCACCAAGGCUUUGUAAAGUGUCAGCGGGAGCGAAAGCGAGAGUUUAAAGGAACAGGAGGCCCAUUGAAUUUCCUACAGGGGCUUUAACAGGCUUUCCUUCGCUAGUUUGUUUUUGUUAUUUCAGCUUCAGGAUCUGCUUCAAUGUUAACCCAUUCAGGCCUCCCCAUUCAGUUUACAUUUUAUUUGCAUAAGGUUACCCUCAUUUGAAAGAGGUAAGUUCAAAGGAAAGAAGUAAAACACUACUGAUUAAAAGUACGUGUUCUAGAGCCAGACUAUCAGGACGAAAUUUCACUUCCUCCAUGAGAAACAAUCUUUUAGCAUUCUUUCCCACAAGGGGGCAAAUGUGGAGAAAUUUGUAGUAAUACUCUUACAGGGUCAGAGUAGUGAAUUAGAUGAGUUGAUUCUGUGUGCUUCAGAUUUUUCAAAGAUUUCCUAGCAAUAGCUUUUUCCUGAAGAGAAAGAACUAAAUUAUACAUUUGCUAGUGUUCUAUAUUCAAAAGAUCCAUAUUCUUGCCCAUGACAUUCAAUAUUCUGAAGAGUUUAUGGAUGCUAACAAUAGAUACCCUAACUUGUCACAUAACUCCCUGGAGCUGAGUCCAAAUCAUCAAUCUACUCUGAAUUUGAUGCCAUAAAAGGAUGCCUUUCUCAUUGGAAGUGGACAUAUAAUAUGUUUUCCCUAAUAUGAUACUCAAUUUAUUCUUUAUUUCAGAGCAAUUAGUGUAUAUAUUUAAACACAUAAACGUGCCAUGCCUAAACCCUUUAUCAUGCCAAGAACUUGCUCUCUCCUGAGCUUUCUCCAGACUAAUUGAUUCCCCCCACCCCUACCAUAUUUAAGAAACCUGGUUCUUUUAUUCCUGCUCCACCAGGUGUAUUUACUUCUAGGUAAUGUUACAUAGGAAUUUGGGUACUUAGUAAAGUUACCUGUUUAAGAUUAAGUUUUCCAACCACAGCUUGAUUGUAUUUUAAUUGAUGUUGAUUUUUUUUUCUUUCAUUCUCCUUGCAGUCAUUACUUCCUGAAUCCAUGUGGAAAACUUCCCCCUAAACCCUUCCAUACAACUCGAGUUUCCAUGAUAGGCAACACUAUGGGGAACCUAAUAAGACCCCAUUUUUAACCUGGGAUAUUUCCCCCUUCCUUCCCAACAAGGGGAGGAAAAAUGUGUGUUCUUUUUGAGACAAAACCCAUUCUCACCUCUUCCUACUCUUAUUUUCUUUCUUUUCCCUUUCAUUAUUUAUAUGUGCAAAUUAGCAGUGUUUAUUUCCUUAUUAUGUUUUUGGCAGAGAUGCCUUGCCCUCCUGGUUGAUGCCAUAUAUAUUUUGUAAGUGUAAAUCUGUUGCCAAAAGUUGAAAUGGAGCCAAAUGAUAAUUCAGAGAUAAUCUGAACAGUCUUGUUUUUUUUUUUUUUUUCUCACUGGUACUAUUUAAUUCCAUUGUUUUACUUCUGUCUUAAUCUGAUUCUGAAAAGUUG
rnacentral:lncRNA from 1 species